rnacentral:piRNA from 1 species
UACAUUCUGGAAGAAAGACCUACAUA